rnacentral:piRNA from 1 species
UUUUGUUUGAUUACUGCUUCA